rnacentral:lncRNA from 1 species
AUGGUCUUCAGCACCAUCCUUCUAAGGAGUGUACCUUACAGGUUCAAACACAGGCCUGCCAUGCGAUGUCACAUAUGUUGGCUGUCUAUCUGCUGUUACAUGCCAGUCACUUUUGUUCACAAAAAAUCCCUUUGGAACCAUUAUGUGUUGUAUUUCCUUGAAUGGAAGUUUCGGGUGUCUGGUUCCAUUGUUUUAAUUGACACCUAUUACGCCGAUACAUGUGAUGGUCCAGAUUCUUUAUUACAUAUGACAGAGGCUGUUUACAUUUUUCUAUCACUACAGCAGGUAGCCAUCUUUCUUUGCGGUCAUUGGAUUGCAUUCAUACCAAAUCUGUUCGAUCAUAAAAAUGAUCGGAAUCUGUUCAAUCAUAAAAAUGUUUUUGUCUUUCUUGAGCUCUUUGUAGAUCUUGAUGCACAUUAAUAGUAAUCUUAGGACAUAAUAAAUCAGUUGUUAUGGGAAGUUUACUUCUCAGCAUUCUGCCUAUCAAUAUUUGUGCAGGUGAGUAUGAUAAUCUUGUCACAGGUGUAUUCUGAUACUCCAACAAUGCUGCAUACAGAUCACCCCUUGCCUUACCUACUUUGUAUAUAAGUUGUUUUAUGGACUGAAUGGCUCGUUCUACCAUACCAUUAGAUUGUGGAUACCCCAGACUACCAAAACACUGUUCAAAUCCCCAUUCUUUCACAAAUACCUUGAAUCCUUGACUUGCAAAUGGCAUAUUAUUGCUCACCACAAUUAAUGGAGUUCCAUGUCUUGCAAACACAGGUUUCAUCUUGACAAUUACUAUCCUUGCAGUUUUAUCAGGUAGACUUACUACUUCUGGAUAUUUUGAAAAAUAGUCAAUUGCUAACAGAAAAGAGCAGUAGGACUGAAGCAGUAGGAUGCUGCAGUUUUUGCUGCUGAGUUGGAUUCUUUCUCCUUUGGAAAACUCCUUUGCCUUUUAAACAAAUAAUGAUAACAAUACACAAUUAUAAAAUGAUAACACCAUUUUUAUUCCUGUGUUAUCAAUGUCAUUUCCUAAUUGGUCCUAUCAGAAAAACAAUAAAUAUUAAAAAAAAUUGAUGCCUCAAUUAAUGUAAUUUUAUUGGUAUCUAUUUUUAUUUUGAAAUUUACCAGCAGUUGCUGCAUUUUCCACCUUUGGCUUAUACUUGAGUCAGUAAGUUUUCCCAGGUUUUUUGUGGUAAAAUUAGGUACCUUAGCUUAUAUUUGGGUUGGCUUAUACUUGAGUAUAUACGGUAAUUGAGUCUUUGCUUGUCAGUUUGUAUCAUUAUUCAGCUUUCAUAAUCAAGGCCAGAGAAAUGGUGUGUCCAUUUCUUUUAGAAUAAUCCAUAGUUUUUAAUCAUCUACACAUUCAAAGAAAUGGUUAUAAUCUGGGAAUUAUAGGUUUAUAUUCUUCUGAAAUUAUCCACUAUCCAGCAUAUGCAACUAUCCGUACUAUCUCUUCCUUUUCUGAAUCCAUCUAAGAGAUCUCACAUUUUUAAUUUCCUGUAUAGAAAAAGCCUUGCUUGUAAAAUCUUGAGCAAUGCAGUGGCUUGCGUGGGAGACGGACACAAUCAUCUGGCAGUUACUACAGCUAUUGAGUCCAAGAGUGUCAUUAAACACGUGCUUUUUCUCUGUUCUCCCCAGUAGGUGGGCAAGUUCCUUCUGACCUAGAAUGCAAUCUUCAAGCACCAUCUCUUGCUUCAUUUUAGAUUGUCUCAUCAUAAAGUUUUUAAAAUAGUUUAUUAUUAAUCUUAGAGCAGUGGUUCUCAACCUGUGGGGUUCCCAGAUGUUUUGGCCUUCAACUCCCAGAAAUCCUAACAGCUGGUAAACUCGCUGGGAUUUCUGGGAGUUGUAGGUCAAAACACCUGAGGACCCACAGGUUGAGAACCACUGUCUUAGGCCAUAGGCCAUUCACAUACAAAAUGAAUAAAUACAACAUAAAAGUGCAACAAUAUAAAAGCACUGCAUAAAAUAAAUAGCAUAUCGACCUUGCAUAUUAAAAAUCAAUAUAAUACAAUUAAAACACAUUAAAUAUAAAGAAGAAUGCUACAAUUACAUUAUAUAAAACUAUAUUGGAUAAGAGCAUUCCAAGAGCAAUCAACUGCAAUAUGAGCCAUAAAUCUUUUCUGUGAUCAUGUCAGGGUAAAAGGAAUUCAGAAGUGGUUUCUGCAUGAGGCUAAAAAGAGUUAUCAAAAAUGCCACUACCGUUGUUGUUGAUAUUCUGUGUCAGCAUCAUCUGCUCUCCAUUGGGAGAGGAGAUAAAAAGCAUUGUUUCUAAUGACACUCCUGGACUCCCAACUUCUGCCUGGCAUUUUCUUCUCAUAACAUUAGGGUGUUUGGUUAUGGGACUGUCAUAUAUGAAGAACAUUUACCUCUUUCAUAUCUACCUUUAUUUGCCAUAUUAGCUGAAUACAUUCUUGGUCUCUAGCAUACUGCUUUUUCUUUGUAAAGCUCUCCAACCUGCAGUGAUGGCAAAAUAAAACCAAAGUAUGUCACACAGUUAUACCCCACUCUUUGACACAACCCAGACCUCUCACUUGCAACAUGGGACUUAAUAUAACUGCAAAAUAUUUCAGGUUGAGCAUUACCUAUAUGUUUCCUAUUCGACUGUUUUAGCUUUUAAAUUACUCAAUUUUGUAAUAUAUUUUUGAAUGUUAAAAUAAUUUUAAAAAAUGCUGAAACUGAUUGUUGGAUGAAUGUAGUAACAGCCAACCCUCCACAUUCACUAGAGUUAGGGGGCACUGGACUCCAGUGAAAAUCAAAAAUGCCAAAUGAAGAAAUUGCUGGUUUUUGUCUUCAUCUUUAGGCUGAAGUAUAAAUAUUUUAAUAAAUGAUAAACAUACUGUCCUAGCCAGAAAUAUUCUGAGCCAACUGCACAACAUGGCAGUCAUUCCAUCUGUCCCCACUCUCUUAACAUAACUGAUGGGACUGAUAUGACUAUUAAAGGCUAAUCCCGUACACAUUUUUCUGUGAGUCAGUCUCAUUGAACAUAAUGGGACUCACAUCAAGAGUUGGAUGAAUGUAGUAACAGUCAACCUUCC